rnacentral:misc_RNA from 1 species
GAUGAAGAACGUAGUGAAAUGCGAUAAGUAAUGUGAAUUGCAGAAUUCAGUGAAUCAUCGAAUCUUUGAACGCACAUUGCGCCCAUUAGUAUUCUAGUGGGCAUGCCUGUUCGAGCGUCAUUUCAACCCUUAAGCCUAGCUUAGUGUUGGGAGACUGCCUAAUACGCAGCUCCUCAAAACCAGUGGCGGAGUCUGUUCGUGCUCUGAGCGUAGUAAUUUUUUAUCUCGCUUCUGCAAGCCGGCCAGACGACAGCCAUAAACCGCACCCUCUCGGGGGGCACUUUUUUAAUGGUUGACCUCGGAUCAGGUAGGAAUACCCGCUGAACUUAAGCAUAUCAAUAGCGGAGGA